GGAAAGGUGCAGGAGCGGUUGAACUGGCACGCCUGGAAAGCGUGUAUACCUCUAAAGGGUAUCAGGGGUUCGAAUCCCCUUCUUUCCG
rnacentral:tRNA from 1 species